rnacentral:rRNA from 1 species
UAUNGCACAAUGGGCGAAAGCCUGAUGCAGCNACGCCGCGUGAGGGAUGACGGCCUUCGGGUUGUAAACCUCUCUUAGUAGGGAAGAAGCGAAAGUGACGGUACCUGCAGAAAAAGCACCGGCUAACUACGUGCCAGCAGCCGCGGUAAUACGUAGGGUGCAAGCGUUGUCCGGAAUUAUUGGGCGUAAAGAGCCCGUAGGCGGUUUGUCGCGUCUGAGGUGAAAUCCCGAGGCUCAACCUCGGGCUUGCAGUGGGUACGGGCAGAAUAGAGUGCGGUAGGGGAGAUUGGAAUUCCUGGUGUAGCGGUGGAAUGCGCAGAUAUCAGGAGGAACACCGAUGGCGAAGGCAGAUCUCUGGGCCGUAACUGACGCUGAGGAGCGAAAGCGUGGGGAGCGAACAG